AUACUUAUCUGCUAGGGGACAGACUGCAGUCAAGAAGGUGGUUCUCUCUGGGCGAGUCAUCUCUAUUGAACUUUGGAUGGGUUGGCCUCUGUGGCUUCCCUAAAUGCAGAAAACCUGACAGCAUUAUUUAUGGAAGUGGAGACUGUAUUCUUGCUCCUCACUG